CGGACUGCAUGUGAGUGGUCAUCAGAUCCUUGACCAAUAGCGAUGGGCCACUGUGUGCAGUAUAGUGUGAUGUCAGCUAUGUGUGCUUGUGAGACAAGGAAACAGGAAGUACAGUGAGGUCCAUUAUCAGUCAAAGGGUUAUUGGUUCCUUUGACCAAACAUGUUUCAGAUAGAGAGGAGGAGAGAACACACGCUGUGUCUCAAUCUGCGUACUUCUGUAGUUAUAUUUAAUAUUUUCAGUGUAGUAAGACAACAUGUCAGAUGGCACCCUCAAAAUGUGGCUGUGUUUGAUUUGGGACGUUGCUGCCCUACGCCGCACCAUGGCAUUGUGCCCCCGCCCCGAACACCUAAGGGAGCCUGCGUGGUGCUGAGAGACUCUUGUGCUGGGAUUAAGAAUGGGAAGAUACUUCAAUCCACCCAUAACAACAACAACAACAACAACAACAACAAUCUCACACUAUUACUGAUACAAGUAUUAUAGCAAAUACCACAGAUGGUGCUGUUUUCACUAGUACUUCUAACAAUACUCAUGUCACUGUAAACACAUAGUAUGUUUAGCUUCCACAAUGAUACAGUGAACUGAUCAACCAAACCUUUUUUUUUUGCAUUUUAGUAACAUCCAGUAACAUCCACAUUUAUUCCCCCCAACUGAAAGUGUGGGUGUGAGGGUCAAUGAGUAAUCACAAUACCCCUGUACACCAGCUCUUACACAGAGUUACCUCGACACACACACACACACACACACACACUGGUGCUAAUCUUUGUUCGUGCCAUGCUGAGUUACACAAAGCCAACACUGACCCGCUGUGUACAGCCUGACCUAGCAUCUGUAUGCUCCUGUUUGUGACCACCCGCUGUGAGCGGUGUUGCACGUGUGCGGGUGGGUGAAUUCUUUUGGAAAAGUGUAUCUCCUCUCACACAGCAAGGUCAUAUAUAUAUAUAUAUGUGUUCAUACACACACACACACACACACACACACACGUAUAUGACCUCGCAUAAACAUGCGCUGGAGAUUAUCCUGCUGUUGUGAACGUGUCUGACUCGGGAGCAUGUCCGGACACGAUUCUGACACGAUUUUGGACAUUGUCGGGAGUUCAUGUCUAAAAACAGAUUACCCUCAUCCGGUGUUUACCCUGCGAGAUUGGCUCCCGACCCUUCAAGGAUAAACGCUGUGCAUAAUGGAUGGACGGUUUACAUGGAGAAAAUCCACUGGACAAAAUGGUGAACAGUAAAUGUUACGGUUAUCUCUGUAAAAAUACAAAUACAUUUUUUAAUUCUGAAUGUUGUUUUUUCACUUCCCUAUCAAUUCUGACUGUUAAGCAUUUAAACCACAUUUCUAAAACAGUCUUUGCACAAUACGUCCUGCAACCCAUUAGUCCCAGUCCUAUAAACUGCCUCAGCUCUUCAAAGUUUAGUUUGCAGACGUCUAACUUCUAUUUUCCGUUCGUAAGCAUCGUUCUAACUUUUGCAUUUUCUUCUCCAAAAUAGAACAAAGGCCUCGCAAUGCAUCAAACAAAGUGCUUGUCAGACGAGCAGCGUCUGAACCGCUCUCUGAACCUUUCCCAUGAUAGAAAUCGACGAUUGUUGCCAAUUUUUUGCAAUUUCAAGACAGAAAAUGCAAAAUGCAAAAAUCACACACACAUUUUUUUGCGCAGCGAUUGACCAGAUGUGUGGAGGUCUCUCAAGUUCUCCUCUUUCCGUUCCUCACACGUUGACCUCUACGACUUCUUGAGCGUACUUAGCCGAAACACCAAGAAUGCCUCAGAGAGGAGACUCUGUGGAAGUGUGCACCUCUACACCAUUAGUGCAUCCUAAUGAUGCCGUCCGAGGGAAGCUUUGGCAGACUCAUGGCCCAUCCUUACGAGCGUGGCCAUCCAGAACGGCUACAGACACGUUUGCCUUAAGACGUGGUUGGACGACACAUUAUUCAACCGAGUCCAUGUCAACGAUGUAGUGGGCCUUUUAAAGCUAUCUGUCAUUGGAUCAGUGCUCGCCCAAUGACCUCCUCAAGUCACAUUCAAGCCAACAAACAAUUUAAAGUUUUAUAUCUCAAAAGUAUCAGACUUUUUAAACGUGUUUCAUAUGGAUACACAGAAUAACACAGAGGGGAGGGCAAGGAAACAGAAAUACAGAAUUGGGAAUGAUUGCGAACAUUGACCCAGCGCUGUAUUGAAGUGUCUCAACGCAGAAUCAUUCGAUUCGUCUUCUCUUUGACCCUCACAUUUGACUAAAUGCAUGUAAAAAGUCACAUUGGAGGUUUCACACAAAUUUUUUUACAAAACUGUUCUAAAACCCUAUUUUCUUUUCAACCCUAGACCCUGUUUCCUGCUCCCUCUUUAAGGAGUCAUAUUUCAUGAGCCGGUGACACUGUCUGGCCACUGUUUGUUCUUUUUACUCAUAGGUACUGUUAAGUGCAGGUGUUGGUUGAAUACAGUAGCACACAGGACUGGGUCAGGGUCUGCAAACUCUUUUUUUUAAGUCUUGUUUUAACCUACUUAGGUGCAAGAUACAUGUGCUGCCCCAACACAGGUAACAACUACAGUGUUGGGCAUUGGAGAAAUGCAUUAAAGGACAUCAGUCGAGUAAAUAGGUCAAAGUUCAUCUACUUCUACUCUAAAUAGUUAAAACUUUCUUUUAGCUAUUUUGAUUUUAGAAGUGUACUUGUUUGCACUUCACAUAUGAAAGAAACCCAACAGGAGAUUGAGUCAGACGAGUUCACAAUCAGCAGGAGUAUUUCUGGAACUUUCAGGUGAGGGGUGAAACUUCCAGAGAUUUCCCAGCAGUACUCUCACAUCUGGAUAUAAAUAUCUGGACUUCAGUGCACGUCUGAAAGCAGCCAUUGUCAGCUUGCUUUGCGACGCAUGUUAGAGAUGUGUCUGUAUACCGAUGAAGGAAACGGGGGAAGAGACACGCAGAGAGAAAGACAGAAGUGACGGACAGGGACAGUUGGAGAAACCAGGGACACGUGCUGCUCAAAAAAAAAAAAGCAGAGGGGUGAGGUGGAUGAGAGAGAAGGGAAGAGAAAGAGAAUGGCGGCGGAGUGAAUAGGAGAGAGACGGGGAGCC
rnacentral:lncRNA from 1 species